AGUGAUUAUUUAAGUGGAAACUGGGCUGGAUAACCUUCAGACAAAUUAUAAUUUACUCAAUAUCUAAAAGCUCUCAUUUAUUUAUAUACCCUGUACAUAAUAUACAUUAUUACCAUAUUAUCUCCAUAUUCAACUAGUAAAAUCUACUACAAAAAAAAAUUAAAUAAAUAAUUAAUUAAUGUAACAAGUAAAAUAUGUGGUCACGUUGUAUUCACUCUCACCUCUCAAGAUAAUUAGAUAGCUUUCAUGAAAAUGAAGAUGAAGAUGAACGUGGUCUUUUAUUAUGCACACAUCUUCUUGAACUGAAUUUCUUCUCAUGAGAAGAACAAAGAACAACGAUGAAUGCGUAUAUGGUGAGCAAACAUAACAACUCUUUCAUUUCUUUUUCUUUUUCUCUUUCUCUUAAAUCAUUGAUUCUCACAUCAUGCUUUUGUUUUCAUACUUUGUUUUCGUUUCUCUUUUUGUUUUAGUGAUCCAAUGAUGAAGAAUAACGACGGCGGACCGGUAAAAGCGUCGCCGUGUCGGAAAAAAGGAGAAGAGAUGAAGAUGAUCUAUAUAUGGCAGUGAAGAAUAACGACGGUGAACGAGGUGAAGGUGUAUCAUCAUGUUUGACAAAAGAAGAAUUGAAGAAGAUGAACUUAUCGUCUAUACUAUAUUCGGGAAAGGAAUAGUAUAGUAUAUAUUCUUUAGUGUAGUUAUUUAUGUAAAGUUACUAUAUUCUUUGGGAUAUAUAUCUAAACAAUCCCUUAAAAAUGUAAUCAUCUUCAUAUUUACAAAUUUGAUAGUUUUCUUCUAUGUCAUUUUGUGUAAUUGAUUGUAAUAUGAAAUUCAUACUAUAUUGGUUUAAGUGUAAUGAUUAAAACCAAUUUUGGAUAGAUGACAAAUAAACUUUAUAUUAGUGUACUAUACUACAUUUCUCAACUAUAAAUAAUAUUUAUAUAGUAUAAAUUAAUAUUACAUAAUAUUAUGUAUUAUUUUAGAUUUUGAUAUUUGGAUUUAGAGUUUAUAUUUGAGUUUAGGGUUUAGUAAUUAGUGAUUAGGGUUAAGUAUUUAGAGUAAUAGGAGUGAGUUUGAGGCCAGUAUUAGAUUUUGAAAUUUGGGUUUAGAGUUUAGGGUUUAUGGUUUAUAUUUGGGUUUAGGGUUUAGUGAUUAGGAUUUAGGGUUUAGUAUUUAGAAGGGCAGAGUUGGUAUUUGGGUUUAGUGAACAUGUAUCGUUUCAUUUUACAAUUAAUAAAGAGUGUUCUAUUUUGUUCACCAAUAUAUACUAUACUAUUUAUUUUAUUUCAUUCUAUUUGGGUUUAGGGGCUAUAUUUGGGUUUAGGGUUUAGUGAUUAGAGUUUAAAGUUUAGUAUUUGGAAGGUGCGUGGUUAAGGCUUGGGUUUAGUGAUAGCAGUUUAAGAUUUAAUAUUCAAAAUGUGCCUUCAAGUGUCCAAUAUUGAAAUUUUUUUUAUAGAUUGUAUUUGGGUUUAUAGGUUCUUGCCUAGGGUUUAGAUUUACUAAGUAGAGGUUUGAGUAUAGUAAACCAUAUUAUAUAUAUACUAUUUGGGUUUAUCCUUCCUUAAUUAGGGUUUAGAUUUAAUAGUUAAUGGUGUGUCUUGUAUUGCUGUAUUUUUCGGGUGAAGAGAAUUUACUAUUUGCAUUUCAUACUUUGAAUACACCAUUGAAUUUUUUUGAUUAUUUUAAAUAUUCGUGUACUAUACUACUUAGACUAUAUGAAAUAGAAGAAAUGUAACAUGCUAACCAAGUAAAUGUGCCUUCAAGUGUCCAAUAUUGGAAAAUAAUUUAUAGAUUGUAUUUGGGUUUAUAGGUUCAUGCAUAUGGUUUAAAUUUAGUAAGUAGAGGUUUGGGUUUAGUAAAUCAUAUUAUAUUUUUUGUUACAUUCUAUCUGGGUUUAGGGUCACUUGGGUUUAGGGUCUAUACUUGGGUUUAGGGUUUAGUGAUUAGGAUUUAGGGUUUAGUGAUUAGCAUUUAGGGUUUAGUAUUUGGAAGGUGGGGAUUGAGGUUUGAGUUUAGUGAUAACAGUUUAGGGUUUAGUAUUAAAAAGUUAGGUAUGGGUUUAACAUUUAAGAGUUGUGUGUUGAGUUAGAGUCAUAUAUUAUUUCUCAUAUGAAAUAAAACCAUCCUUUUAUUUUUCAUUAUGCACUAAAUUCAUUUGAGUUUUUACACGAUUAAUUCAUUUAUUUAUUUCAUGGAACCACAUCACUAAUCUAAUUUAAAAUUUUAUGCGGUAAUAAACAUAAAUUAUGUGGAUGUCUUCCAUAUCUCUCAUUCUGAACAGUUAGCUAUUAAAGUGUCCACACCUUGAAACAUAUGACGUUAUCUUUUUUUUUUUCACCGGUCACUUAUAAUUAAAUAGGUAUAACCGGAUAAAUUAUAGCAUAAAUGAUAGUUUCUUUAUUAUGUCAACAUCAAUUCCAUCCGCUUAAUUUUUAUUAUGAAUUUGGUUAUUGGGCAAAUAAGUACUUAUUUUAUAGCCCACUGAUAGAAUUACGUGUACAGCAAGACACUACAAAUUUUGUACUUGUACAAUAAAUUUGGACAGGAAGCAUUAAAAUACAUGACUUGUCUAAUCUAAGGCAAUUAUAGUUUUGGUAGUCAGACAAUAUGCCGGGUACAUUAUGAUACCUUCCAGUUUUCGAAAAUCUGGUGGGUGAAGAGGCUUCAAGUUUCUCUUUAACUGUAAAUAGUUAAAUACUUAUUGAGUAGAGAGUUUUAACUUAAGUCCUUGACGUUGCUGGUUGAAAAUCUAAUCAAAUUGCUGACUUUUCUAGUCUUUUAGCUUCCCCAUGGUGGAUAAGUUAAACGGAUAAAGACAAACGAUUUUGGAGAUAGUAUGGUAUAGGUUUGCCAACAAGUCCUUCUCAUAUAACCGUGAAGAUUUCCCAGAAGAACAGGCUUUUAUGUAAUAUCAACAAAGGUUUGGAAAUGGUAACUAAAACGAAGGGCAGAGGUUAUUUUAUAGCUGCUGAUCCGGUAAAUGACCAAUACAAUUCAUUUGUUAUGGCUUUUCUACUUUCUUAUGCAUAUUAAAGGAAAAGAAAAACACUUAAUUAAAAGCAACAUUGUACCAAUGCUUAGGCAACAUUGUUCUAUCUGGAGGAGACGACUUCCAGAGUCAACUAAAAAGCCAUUUUAUUAGAAAAUGCUCUUGAUUCUCUGUAUUUGUACCAAUGCUUAGGCAACAUUGUUCUAUCUGUGGCUUGUGAGAACAAAGAAGUUACCAGUGACUUCCCGGAGUGGUAAUCCAACAAUGCGAGCUUCGACAGUUCUACUCUGUAGUGUUGUUCUAAUUCAGCUGUUUGCGGCUCAAAGUGAUGCUUAAAGAUCAAGAAGUCCAUGGCAGACACUCAAUGGUGAUGCUCCUCUAGUGAUUGCUCGUGGUGGGUUUUCUGGAUUGUUUCCAGAUUCAAGUAUUGAUGCUUACAGCUUCGCAAUGCCAGACAAGUGUAGCCGGUGCUGUUCUAUGGUGUGAUGUUCAGCUAACCAAAGAUGGACGUGGGGUUUGCUUCCCUGAUUUAAAAUUGAACAAUGCUUCAAAUAUUGGAGAUCUUUUCCCAAAUCGCCAAAAAAUCUUACCCGGUUAAUGGAGUCACUACUCAGGGUUGGUUCACCCUUGAUUUCUCCUUGAGAGAUCUCAAUAAUGUUUCUUGUAAGUAUUUAUUACUCAACUACCUUUUCUGUAAGAACAUAAUUUGUACUUUUCAAAAAAAAAAAAAUAAAUAAAUAAAAAAACAAAAAAUAAUAAUAAAAAAAUAAUAAUAAUAAUUUGUACUUUUCUUGUUACUAC